rnacentral:lncRNA from 1 species
UUAAAACAACAAAAAUUAAAAUUUGUUCGAUUCCCAAAGAAAAAUGUUUACAUAGCUCAAGAAACCUCCAAAACAAAACCAUUUGAGCAAAACAAACCAGAAAAGAAAACACUUGAGUUCCUCUGUAUGCCAGCCUUGAAAAUCCUUCAACUCCAGUCCUAAAUCGCCAAUAGAAGCAAUAUUAUGAAGCAUUUUCGUAUAAACGAUGUUUAAAAUCGAAUAUGCAGCACAUCUCAUAGAUACACAUUGUCUGAAACAACUCAGCUAGGCCCUGUCGCCUCCUCAGCCACUAGGUCCAUAAUCGUCGGAGGGCCCUCCUCCACCAACUACAUGUCUCGCUUUCGGAGAAAUCCCUCAAUUGCUAAAAGGUGAGCCAUUCAAUUUCCACCCCUUUUGAUGUGUUGAUAUUUAAACCUCUCAAAAUGCAAAUACUAAUCGGUUGGCCUCCUAUAUAUAAGUACUAAUCUCCAAUCUGUCAACCUUUUGUGCUUUUAAUUUUGAAAUAACCACUAUGGAGUCACAUUCCAAAAGAACACGGCGAAAACUCAUGUGUUGUGCAAGCGGAAUGGCCUGAACUGCAGCUAAGGCCUCUGCCACUUCAGCAGAUAGGACAUUCCUGUUCCAAGUACUAGAGGCUCCCAUUACCAACCCUGCCUCAUCUUUUAUGACGGAUAUUGCGUUGGAAAAUUGUAGAUUCUUAUAAAAACCUACAUCAAAGUUUACUUUUAACCAUCAGGGCUCUGGAGGGCACCAUCUCACCGGAGGUCCUUACGUGCUUGUCGGGUAAGUCUUCUCCAAUAGCACCAGUUCUUUAACAUAUCCUAGCACAAAAUUACACAAAUCAUUUACUAUUUGUCUUCUGCCUUCAUGCAUCAAUUUAUUUCGCAACAUCAGAGAUUUGCCUACAUAUAUGUAGAUUUUGUCUAGUAGGCACAUAGUUAUGUAUAAUUCUCCAUGUCGUAAUUUUCAUCUUUUCUAGGACUUUUGUUUCCCAAAGGUAUUUGUAUAAAAGCCUCAUGUAGGUCUCAAUAUCUCUGUAAAGAUCAUCAUCUGACCUAGGAAAACCCCUCAAUGGCACUCGGUAGCCACUCUGGACUGUAUACAUACCAGACUCAUCAGGACACCAUCGUAUUUAUCUACUAGGCCAUUGGGCGGCAACGGGAUACAAAGAAUCCUCUUAGCCUCUUACUCAUUAAAGGUAUUCCUCACAACAAAAUCUUUCCAAGUCCCUUCUUUAGCAUCAAUCAAAUCUGCAACCAUAGAAAUACCAUCAACCUUGUCUAAUUGAAUAAUCGUUGGUUUGUCCCCAGGCAACCAAGUUGUAUCCCAUACCGGAAUAUGCUCACUAUUCCAAAGCUUCAGCUGCUACCUUUCAGCAAAAGUCCCUUUACGGCCAAGACACUCCUCCAAAUUGCCGAAAGUUGACUCUUUAACUCAAUUCUCAUGAAAUCACUAUCCGCAUAAUAUUUAGAUUGCAAAAUUGAUGCUACUAGAGAUAUAGGGUUACAAAUAAGUCUCCAACCUUGUUUAGCUAGAAGCGCAAAAUUAAAUUUGGCUAGCUGCCUAAACCCCAAUCCACCCUAUUUCUUUAAAUUACAUAAAGCCUCCCAUGUACCCCAAUGUAUUCCACGAUUUGAUUGGAAUUUUUGCCACCAUUAGCAACUAAACACGAUUUCAAUAUCCUCGCAAAAGGUUUUUGGUAAUAGAAAACAUGAAAUGACAUAAGUAGGCCUAGCUUGUAAGACCGAUUUAAUAAAAAAAUUUUACCUCCCUAUGACAACCAACGAUUGGACCACCCACUGAUUUUUCCUUUAAUUCAAUCCAAAAUAAGAUAGAAUGCAGCUCUCUUAUUACGCCCUAUUAUUAUGAGAAGGCCCAAAUACUUCUCCGGGUUUUAAGGGCAUCUCACCCUAACUCAUUUUCCACUAAAACCCGGGUCUCAUCAGCAACUCUUGAACUAAAGUAGACCAGAGACUUACUAAAGUUAAUAACCUGCCCGAAACAAGCCUCGUAUUCAGCCAAAACAUUCUUAAUAUUUGUCGCCCUAGCCACUAAUGCCUCCCUAAAUAAAAUAUUGUUGUUAGUACGAGCGACUCAACUUUGCCCAUUUUACCAACCUAUCCUGUAUCGCUAACCGGAGCAAAACAGACAACCCCUCUAUGCAAAACAAGAAUAAGAAAUGGCUUAGAGGGUCACCUUGUUUUAGCCCACAAGUGGGUGAAAUAAAACCUCUGGUUUGCCUAUUCAACACCACUAAAUAACUAACAGUCUUCACGCAUCUCAUAACCAGCUCAACCAAAUCCACUCGAAAACCUAUUUUUAACAUCAUAUCUUCAAUCAUAUGUCAUUCCACCCUAUCAUAGGCCUUACUCAUAUCCAAAUUAAGCGCAAAAAAUCCACAUCUAUUCUCAGUCCUUUUUUUUUUAAAGAAUGUAGCAACUCAAAUACGACAAUAACAUUAUAUGCUAUAAGUCUACCUGGUAUGAACGCACUCUGUGCUUCAUUAAUACAAUGAGGCAUAAUCAUUUGUAAUUGAUGGACAAUUUCCUUAGUAAUAAUUUUCAAAAUAACAUUACAUAAGCUUAUUGGACGAAAGUGUGUCAUAUUAAUAGGCAUAGAUUGUUUUGGGAUAAGCACAAUAUUUUUAUGAUUAACCUCUACCAUUGGUCCUCUAUUAUUCAUAAUAUCAAGGCAUUAAGAGCUUACCUCUAAGCUAAUAAUGUGCCAAAACUGUUGGUAGAACAAAGUCGGCAUACCAUCCUCCCUCGGUGCCUUUGUAGGAUACAUUCUCCACAUCGCCGCACCAAUCUUUUCUUCAGUGAAUCGAGAGCACAAAAAAUCAUCCAUGCCAUCAGAAACAUGAACUAGAAUUCCCAUCAAAAGCCUUGUAUUAUCGCCCCUACCCCUUGAAGUAACCAGAUCAGUGAAGUAUCUACACGCAAUUUGUUGCAUCUCCUCAUUUCCCGCACUCAUUCUACCUUCUUCAUCUUCGAGCUGUCCUACAUAAUUAAUUUUCCUACGUUGGAAAUCCAUUCUUUGAAAAAACCCAGUAUUACGAUCCUCAUUCCUCAACCAGUUAGCUCUUGCUCUCUGUUCCCAAUAGCGUUCCCUUUUUAACAAUCUCCAAAUUGAGCUAUAUUUUUGUGAUGACCAAUUACUCCAGCGCUUCAUUAGUCGGAUAUGAAUUAUUAAGCUCGUCAAGCUUCUACCUUAAUUUAUCCAAGGUCAUUCGAGACAACUGUCUAUUCUCUCAAGCCCAAUUCAUCAAACCACGCUCGACAUAUCGAAUUAUAUCCAGUAUAGACCCAUCUGAGCUAUUCCAUAAUCUUUUAACCUCUCUUUUACAAGACUCUUCAAGCAAUAAUGUUGCUUCAAAUCUAAACUCACAUGUACUUUGUUCCUGUUGAUCUACCCUCCUACAAAUGUUAAGUAAAAUUGGGCAAUGAUCAGUUAUCGAAUGCAUGCAAUGCUUGAGAGAAAAAUUAGGAAAUAAAUUAUUCCAUUUUGGAUUUGCCACUCCCCUAUCAAGCAUUUCCUGUAUGUUAUUGUGGGCCAAUCUCCAAUGUUCCCAUGUAAACUAGUGGUCUUGAUAUCCCAAAUUCGACAAAUUACAAUCUUCCAAAGCUAUCAUGAAAGCCUCAAUUCCUCGCUCAUCCCUCAGCCUCCCCUUUGUUUCUCAUAAGAAUACAUAAUCUCAUUAAAAUCCUCCAUAAUCAGCCACAGUAUCGCACUUUUAGUAGAAAAAUCUCGUAAAUGAUCCUACAAAUAGUGUCUCAAGUUCUUUACAGGAUGCCCAUAAAACCCAGUAAACCUCCAAUGAGCACUUUCUACUUCUUCAAUAUUUAUAUCAAUAUGGCUCAACGAGAAGCUCCAUUCUAAAGAUAAACCACCCACUGUACCAUCACUACUAAUAUUGAUUCCCUCCAUCAAUCCCCAGCUCCUCCAUCUUCGAACUAUGUAUCUUUGUUUUCAUGAAAAAGUUACAUCAGGAUUAAUCUCCCUCAGCACCUACCAAAGGCAAGGUCUUGCACGGGGGUUCCCCAAACCCCAGACAUUUCAGCAUAAUAUUUUCAUUGCAUUCGACUGCUCUGUCUGUAGAGCCAACCGAUAUCUCAGAAUCAUGAACAAAGACAUAUCCAUCAAUAGCUUUCCCUGAAUUCAUUCUACUAGAAACAAAAGAAAACCGAGUAUUACGAGGCCUCUUAUCCCUUUCCCCUAAUUUCUAUUGGACAAUCCUCCUCUAUCAACUCUCUAUUCGGAUCAAGAUUCUCUAAAUCCCCAACAUCAAAAUUUACUCUUCCCCCCAUUUCAAACCAAGAUUGGCCUCUACUUGCCUUAAAAAAAUUGCAUGCAUUUUAGAAUAAACCUUGUAUAUUUUUAUUCUUCCCAUCUUGUCCACUCUCUAGAGUUCUCUUUAGUUCCCUCAAUCGUGGCCCCUCCUCCUUCUCCCUUAAUCACGGACUCGAUGCCACCAUUUCUUGUUUAGGGAUCGCGUUAAUCGAUAAAUUCUAGCUAAGCAGAACCUUUCCGAAUGACCCAAUUUGCGACAUAGAAAAUAGAACGCCGAUAGUUUCUCAUAAUGGAAACACGCAUAGAGAUACCAUUUACUACCCAAAAUAAGCUUCUUAUUCCUUAUUAACGGAUUUCUCAUAUCAAUCCGAACCCGAAUUUUUAUAUAGCCUCUAUACCCUUGAUGUAAAUAUUUCACAUCAUACUCUAAAAAUCACCUUACAAAAUCUCUAAACUAUUUGGCCAUCGUCUCUGACCUCAGGCUUGUUAGGAGAUCGUGAACCUGGACCCAAAAAUCAGACCAACACAGCAACCCUAGCAUGGGAUCCUCCUAUUCCCGCAAUCUAUGAAAUACGAACAAAUGAUUAUUAAAUGUCCAAUGACUCCCUUCCAAAAGUUGAUCCAGAUUUAUCUUAUAAUAGAAUUGAAACAUAAAUCGCUUUUCCCCUAGAUCUGUUAUUGUAACACCUCCAUGCGAAUGCCAUAAAUUAACCAAGGUUGCUUGGUAUUGCACAAUGCUCACUGUUAAGGAAUCGUCGACUACACUCAGAUCCGCCCCCUCCUCUCUCGUCUCCUUGCCCAAAUCGACAUUCCAACCCACCUCCUCUCCAUUAGUAAUCAACAACGCCGUUAAGCCCUAUUUCAUUCUUGAAGCACUACCAUCUAUCAAAACCCUAAACUAGAUUCAAAACGUGCUAUUAGAAGUAGACUAAAAACGUGCUAUUAGAAGUAGACUAACAUGCUUCUUUUCAAAAUUGAAACACAACACUAAAAAUUAAGGGUUGAAAAUUUAAACAUUGAAUUUAAGUUAUAAAAUUUGUUUGUUAUACAUAUUUCUUAAAUUUAAAUAUGAAAUAUAAUUAGAUGAUUUGAUAAAUACAAUUUUAAAAAUUUUAAAAAUAAAGUAUUUAAAAGAUAAAAUAAAUAAAAUAAAAAGAAUUGAAAAUUUUCUACUAAGUGAUAGGUAGCUCUUUAUCUACUUAUCAUUUUCCACACUUUUUCAUUGAAAAAAUUCAAUCAUUUGAUUUUUAUUAUGAAUUAUCAAAUGUGUUAAAAAAUUUAAAUAACUGAAAAUAUUAAUUUUUAGCUAAUUUAUUUUUCAAUGGUUAUCAAACAAGGCUUAGGAGUUGUCUGAUAAAUUAAAAAUUUAAGUGUUGAAAAAUUAAGUACUUAAUUUUAAAUAUAAGUGUUCAAUAUAAUCAUAUUAUUUGGUAAAAGUAAAUAUUGAUUUUGUUAAUUUUAAUUUUAUUAAUAUAAUAUUUCAUAUUAUUUUGGAUAGAUUUAGAUAAAAGUUAAAUAUGAUAAUUGAAUAUCUCAAUUUUAAAAUAUAUAUAUAUAUAAAAUUUUAAUAAAGUAUAAUCAACUAAUUGAGUGUUAAUUAGUUACCUAUCUAUUUAUCCUAUACAACAUUUUUUUUAUUUAAAAUUUUAUAAUAAGUAAAAUAUUAAUAAAAACAUUAUGAAACACAUUUAAAAUAAUAAAAUGUUGAAAUGAAAAUUUGUAAUGAUUGAUUAUUUAACAAUUAUUGAUCAACACUUAAUUUCUUUUCAAUUUAUCAUAGGAUGUUUGGUGGGUUGAAUUGAACCUAUUUUGAAUUAGUGAAAACUUCUCUGAUUCUUUUAGAAAAAUACCCACCUAAUAAUGCAAGGUAAAAAUGCCAAUAAAUUGCCAGUGUUUGAAUUGUUUAGGAAUAUUAGUUUUGUGGGGAAAGGGUUUCUAUUAUUAUUAUUAUUAAAAACUAUUUUUUUGGGGAUUUGUUAUUCCUUGCAUUGCUUUUAUAUUAUUUUAAUUUGAUAGAAACGAAUAUUCUCUUCCUUUUUACUUUAUAUUUUACAAAGUUAAAUUCUUUUUAAAACAAUCAACUUGAGUGGAUUGAGUUUUAGUUCAAUUAACAUGAGUAUUAUUAUCAAUAUAGGAGGAUGUAGAUUCAAGUGUACUAAAACACAUUAUAAAAUUUGUUAACAGAAUCCCACGUGUCUUAAGUUCACUAACAGCAAUAAUAUAUCAUGUUUACGUGUCUCCUUAACGGUGAAAUUAAAUGUGGUCAAAGUAUUUGAUGAACCAUUAAGUGCUGAUGUGGCAUGGAGAGCUUAAUUAUUUUUAAUUAUUUUGCAAUAGUUCUUUUAACAUUUAAGCUUAUUUUUAAAAAAAUAAAAAAACUAUAAAAACAUAGACAAUUACAUAAAAAAUUGUAAAAUGUUAUUAUAAUUAUAUAUUACAGUUCAUCAUCGUGAACCCUGACACCAACUUUCCUCGUACUAAAACAAUUAUUAUCACGCAUCUCAAGCUGCAAAUAAUAAAUUCAUUGUCACUCAAACCUAAAAAUGUCAAUAAGUCGGGGUCGAGAUUCGGUUUCAAAAAAUUUGUCAAGUCUAAGCUUAUUUUCCAACUGGUUUAACCCGCCUAAAACACCCGUUUUAGUAUAAAAAAUAAGAUAUAUUAAAAUAUAUUUUUAGUUGAUAUUUUUAUAAAUAAAUUUAAAUUUUAAAAAUAUUAUUUUAUUAUUUAAAUUGAAUUUGAAUUGGAUUGGGUUGAGUUGAGACGAGGUGAAAAAUCAUUGUCCCUGAGUCGAGCCAAAUGAGCUACCCUACCUUUAGACAGGUCUAUUCAAACCUUUCACUUGGCAUUCUAUAUAAGUCUAAUCACCAUUACACUUCAAUCUUCUCAUUUCCUUAUUACUAAAAUCAAAGACUCCAUAGAAAAAUUUUUUUCCUUUAUUUUUAUAUAUAUUUUUAUAAAAUUUUAUUAAUUUUCUAUAAUUUUAUAGUUUUUUUUAAUAAUAUUUCAGUAGUUCUAAAAUGUUAUAAUACUUCAACAUUACUUUUUCAUAUUAUCAUAUUAUUUAAUAAAUUUAUGAUGAUUUAUUUAACAUUUUAGUCUAUUAUUUUCAACUAAAACUAUUAAACUCGUAUUCCAAAUAUAUAUUGAAAAUGCAAGAAAUUUCAUUUAUCUUUUUUAUUAUUAUUACUUAUUAGUUAUUAUGAUGUUUUUUAAUUGAAAAGAAAUAUAUCAUUAGAUUGAAAAACGAAGGAAAAAAUGGAUUGAAAAUCGAAUUAUGGUUUGACUUGAUUUGACCCAUGAAUAUGAGUAGUAAUAAGCCUCUACCUUUUGCUUCUACCAAGCUGGCACCGUGGUUGGUACUUGAUGCACAAGCAACAGUCAAGCAGUUGUUUAUAUUUAAAAUUUUAAUAAAAGAGAAAAUAUAUAAUUAUUAAAUAUUAAAUUAAAAACCACGUAAUAUUCUAUUAUUAGUACAUGUAUUUUGUAUAAGUUAUAAAUUCGGUUUUUAUAUUGUAUUAUUAGUACAUGUAGUAAUGAAAUUUUGCCAAAUAAUUUGUUAGUAGAAAUAAUUAAUGUUGUCAUCAAUGGUCUUUAGUAAGAGAUUUUUUACUCUGUAGAAGAAGACAAUAAAGUGUUAUUUGCUUAGAGUUGAUUGAUUUCUUAAGAAAUCCGAUAUCAUUCUCAGAGAGGGAUUAUGUUUCUUGAUUUUUUUUUUGAAAGUUUGAAUACUGGAAGAGGCAAUGUGUUCAUAGAGCUGACAAUGCCUCGCACAAUGCAUAGGCAAACCACUUAGCACAAGUGGAAUUCAACUUGCACCCAUGCCUCAUUUAGGACAUAGGUUCAAAUUCCAUCAAUUGCAACCUUUUUAGUUUCUUCAAUGGCUCGCUUGUUUAGACUUCUGACAAAGUAAUCCCGCUUUGUAAAUCCGUCAUCUCUUCAAAUAAUUGGGCUUUUGACAAUACCGAGAGACAAAACUCUCAUUAGGGACAAUACCAAACUCGUUAAAAGGCAUGCCGGUUUUAUGUUGACACACUUUGUGUAACGACUCAACUUUUGUCAAUGUAAAAAAAUUUGAUUUUCGGAUUGAAUUUCUUGAAUCGAGUCAUUCUGAAUAGUUGAAACGAAAGUGGUGAAAUAAAGAAAUCAUUAAGUAAAUUAUUAAGGAAAAUUUUGAAAUUAUAUUUAGAAGUUAACAAUUAUGGUACAAGGACUAACUUGUAAGGUAGCUAAAUUUAAGAGAUCUAAUAAGAGAUUAAAUCAAGGCCUUGUGAGCAAAUUGGCCACAACACAAAUUAAGUUAAUGGGAGAAUUAUGAUCUAAACCAUUAAUCUCCACUAACUAGUUUAGAUAUUAUCAUUAGCCAUUGAUUUAAGUGUUAAGAUUUAAUUAAAGUAAAGAAUAUAGGUUAGUGGUGAGAGAAAAUAAAACAUUUUUCACUUAGAAUUUUUCAUCUUCUUCCAUCGAAAUUGAGAGAAGGAAAAGAGAAAAUCAUUUUGAAAGUUCCUCCAUUGCCGAAGCUUCAACUCCAAGAGUGGGUAAGCUUUCUCUGAAUUUUUGUUUAAUUAAAUGGUGUUAAAUGAAAGUUUAGAGUUAGCUAUUAGUUUGAGUAUAAAAUUAAAAGAAACUAUACUAAAAUAACCAUGGGUAUUGAAUGCUUGAAGGAGUUGAGUAAGGGUUUUAUGUAUUCAUAACUUUCAAUUGAUAAAUUAGCUAUUAAGUGGCUACUUAAUGAUGGUUCAUGAUUUUGAUAUUUGUAUUUGUAUGUAUUUAUAUGUGUUGAAGAGAUAACUAGAGGGAGCUCUAGCAAGGAAAAAGACCAAGUCGUGAAGUGACGGCUUUUUGAAGAGUUUUCACUUGUUUUGGUCAUUUUGGAUAGGUAAGUUCACAUGGAAACUUCUAUAUUUACUUCUUGUCUGAGUGUAAUGUGAAUUGAAAUUAUGAUAUGUGGAAAUGUUUAAGUGUUAUAUGUAUAAUAGGUAAGUUAUGGGGUAUUGAAAAUGUGGUCCAAAUGGUUUUGAACUUGUCUUGCAUGUGAAUGUAUUCAAUGGUUAAAUAUAUUCUUAGAGAAGAGAACCAGAAAGUUGAUAGAUUGAUAAAGUUGGCUCACAUAAACAAGGGUUGCAAAUUUUUGAAAUCUCUCCGCUCUGGGGUUUAAAUUGUGUUUCUUUAUUUUCUUAUUUAUCACCAAAAAAUAAUAAUAAUAUUGUAAUGGCCUAAAUUCAAAAUUAUCGGAAUAGUGGUUUCGUAACAACCACAAAUUUGAUUUAAAGAGAAAUUAUUUUAAAAAAUUAUUGCAUGAAUAUUAAUAUAAUAGGAAAAUUGUAUGAAAAUAUCGAUAGAAAAAUUUUACCGAUUUAGUGGUUAGUUAGAAAAAAAUUUAUUAUUGAAGAAAUUGGGUAAAAACAAGGUAUCGAGAUCUCGAUCUCAUAAAAAUGAUUUGGAAAUAUUUUUAUAAAUAUUUAUGAAAUUUUAGUGAUUCGGUAUUAAAAUUUCGUUAGAAAAUUUUAAUGUUUGGGUAGUCAAUUAAAUGAAAAGGACUAAAUUGGAAAAUGUGUAAAAGUUACUAGAAUGAUUAAAUAGCUUAAGUGUCUAAUGAGAAAGGAUUUAAAAGAAAAUUAGACCCAAAAUUUAUUUGGGCUGGACGGCAAGGGCAUGAAAUCAGCAGGAAAAUUGAUGAUUUAAGGGCAAAAUUGGAAUAUUACAUAAUUAACUAAAUAAAAAUAGGACUAAAUAUGGAAUAUCUAGAUUUCUCUUCAUUUUUCUUCAUUCUUAUCAGCCAAAACGCCAUAGGAGGGGUUCUUUAAGUUGGUAUUUCAUAAUUUUUGCACCAAGUGAGUUAAUCCUUGCCUAUUUCUUGUAAUUUUUUGUGUUUCUAAGACUUUUACAACUUGGUCCUACUAUUAAAUUCAUUAGUUUUUGAUUUCAUGGAUGAAAUUGAAAGUCACCAUGGUUGAUUACUGUAAGUUUAUGAUGAAAUAGAAUGAAAUUGAAGCUUUAAUUUGUUUAUGAGAUGAUUUUAUUAGGUAAUUUCAAUAGAAUUGAUUUUUAGGACCUAAUUAUGAAAAUGUUUGGAAUUAAAGUCUAGUACUAAAAUUAUGAUUUCCAAAGACUGUAAAGUAGUUUAAAGUGAUAGAAUAAAGUGUUAAUUGAGAAAAAUCAGCUCAAUUGAGAGGCUAAUUGAGUAGAGACGAAAUUAUCAUUUAUUAAAAGCCUAGGGGAAAAAUGGUAAUAAACAGCUUGCACUAAAACAGUUUUAGACAGCAGCAGUAGGUUAACUUUGAAAAAUCACCAUAAAUUAUAGAAAUUGAAUUAGAAGAUUAACAAAAUAUGGAAUUAAAUAUUAUUGAGUAUAGUUUCUCAUAGAAGAAACGGUGUAAGUAAUAGAAUUGUAAAUCAUGAGAUAUAAUAAAUUUUGUGAGACAAGGUCAGAAUGAAUUCGGGUUCCCCUGUUCUGACUUUGAAAAAUCAUAAAAAAAUUUAAAAAAUAAUUAAGGGCUUAAAUUUAUAUUUUUAGAAUCCUGAAUGAGUAUAUUUUCAAGGAAAACAAACAGGAACAUCAUCCAAAUCCUGUAUGAAGAGAUAAUUAAUUUUUAGUGAAGAAGGGUCAGAACUGUCAGACAGCAGAAUAGGGGUGACUUUAAAAAAUAAACUGUACUUAUCGGCUAAACUAAAAAUUCUGAAAAUUUUAUGGUAAGAAGAUAUGUGAGCCUAAUUUUAGGGAAAAUUAGCAGAUCCUAAUUUGGAGUUCUGUAGCUCAAGAUAAAAAUAAUUUAGUGACUGUGACUUAAGUAGACAGCUUUUGAUGAACUAUAAAUAACAGUGGAAUUAUAGAGAAUGUUGCAUAUGAACAUGAAAUUUAUUAAAUUGAUAAUUAAAUUUAUUUAUUUAGAUCCAGAAGAUUCAAAGACAAAGCUAGAUCGAGGAAAGAAAAAAGUUCGGGAUUAGUAGAUUUUUGUAUACGAACAAGUAUCGAGGUAAGUUCAUGUAACUUGAAUUAUAUUCUUAAAUGCUUGAAAUGUAUGUUAUUGAUGUGAAUAUGAUUUUAAUAUUCAUUGUAUGGAAAUCGAUGAAACAUUGAUAUAUUUGAUAAAAGGGGAAGAAAUCUCGGUUGAAUGAAAGGAAAAUUUGAUGGAUCUCUGAAAAGGAAUGACGAUAAAAAGGAUCUAGCCCGGACAGAUGAUCCUAUCUUGAUAUAGCCCUCCCGAAGAAUAUGUGUAAAAUGGAUUUAGCCUGUAUGGGUAAUUUGAAUCAGGGUCUGAAUUUAGCCAGGACUGGUAAUUCAGAUCCAAGCUCAUUAGAGUAAUUGUCGUUGCAGGGGAUUUAGCCUGGACUGAUAAUCCUGCUGUAAGGAUGAGGUUCGCGGGAGUGUGCUCUCUGAAAUGGAAAUGUGCGCACAUGAAUAUGAAUUGAUGGACCCAGAAAUGUACACUAAAAGUGUACCUCUAAAAAUCUAUCGAAAUUCUAAGAAAUUCAACGGGAUAAAUAUGGAAAAAUAUUAAAGGAAUGGAAAUCAUGGUAUUGAUGAGUUCAUCAAUCAUGGUAUAUAUUAUUGAUACAUGGAAAUUAUUGGACUAACUUGAAUGUUGAGUUUGUGCAUGUUAGGGUAAUAAUACAUUGAAUGUAUAUUUGAAUUUUUAUUGCAUUGUAUUGAAAAUAUUAGGUAAGUAUAAUUCUUGUUACAUGAGCUUACUAAGCAUAAGGUGCUUACCCUAUUUCCAUUUUUCCUGUUUUGUAGUUUUAAGAGCUCGGAGGUCAGAUUUGAUCGGAGACACAUCACACUAUCAACUUCAAGAUUUUGGUAUAUCAAGAAACUUUAUUUUGGAAAUCAAUGGCAUGUAUAAGCUAAUAAAGUAAAUGUUAAUGUGAAAUGAAUGUAAGGUCAGUCAUUGGUAUGGCUAACAAAUCUUGGUUUUGGUAUGUGAUGAGGUUAUCUUAUAAAAAUGCAUGAAUCUAUCUUGAAAAUAUGUUGAAUUGGAUCGGUUAAUAUGGAUUGGUCUCGGUUUAAAAUUACAGGGAAGGUUAGAUAUCUAUAAAGGGGCUAUAUUGAGUAAAAAAAAUUAAUUCGUAAACUCCGGUAAUACCUCGUACCCUAUUCCGGCAACGAAUAGGGGUAGGGGGUAUUACAUUUAUUGGUAUCAGAGCUAUGAGUUAACCGGUUCUAGGACCGAUGUAGUAAAUACGGGAUUAGCUAUACAUGCCAUUUAAAUUAUUAUUGAUAGCGUGAUAUCUCUUGACCAUUUAAAAUGUAUUUUUCUUAUAGUAAUGUCAUCCGACCGAACUCAAUCUGAGGAAGUUGGGAGUCAUGCUCUGGCUUCAGUACAAAGAGAAAAAACUAUCAGUAGAAGGCCCGAGACAGAAUGUAAUGAACCGAAAGUUACGGUAUCAGAAAUUGAGUCUUGAGUACUGUUUCCUUGAAAUUUAUUCAUGAAUAUUUAUUAGAAAUAUUUAUGAAUUAUAGUUGAAUGGUUAUUUAGUGUUUAAUUAAGUGAAGUAGCUUGAAUUUAGUUUAAAGGAUUAAAUUGCAUAAGGAAUAAAAGUUUAAUUAUAGAUUAAAGAAGUAAAAGGGACUAAUCUAACAAUUAGACCCUAAGUGCCAUGUGUGUGAAUGUAUGAUAUAACAUGUGUAAUAGUUGGUAUAUAUGUGUAAUAGCUAUAAGAUAUUUUAUGUUAUAGCUAUUACACAUGUUAAUUUUAUAUUUAUUAUAGGUUAAUAAUAUUAUAAUAUAGUAUAAAGAAUAAAGAAUAAUGAGUAAAGAAACAUAGAAAGAGUUACAGAGAGCAAACGUGAGAAAGAAAGAAAUAAAUAAAUAAAAAAGGGAAAUUUGAGGAUUAAGGCCCUAAAGCUUGAUUGGUAAGUUGUUUUAGCUCAUUUUCUUAUGAUUUUUAUGUUUAUGGAUGCCUAAUUCAAAGUUCUACAUGUAUGAGGUUAAAAUGAAGAAAAAUAGAAAAUUUUUAGAUAUUGAUUUAGUUGAAUAAAUUGAGGUUUUAUGGGUUAAAUUGAUAGGAAUUGAAGUUAGAAGUGAAAAUUGAGUGAUUUAUUAAAAGAAUUCUAAGUUAGGUUUAAAUAGGGAUUAAGUUGAAUAGAGCUCAAAAUUUAUGUUUUAUAAUGAAUUUUAUGAGUUAGAAAUUGUUAAUGAGUUGAUUAAAAGAGAAUAUGAAGCUUAAGUUAAAGAAAAAAAGAUUAGUAAUGGAAAAAUGACGAAAUUGGAAUUUUUGUAAAAGUUUGAUAGAAAGUGAAAAUGUGUUUUAUGAAUUAGUAUAUUGAUGAUUUUUAAUUGUAUGAUUGUUAGUAGCAAACGUAGCACCGGAUACGUCAUCAAAGAAGGGAAAAGAGAAAGUGAACGAAGA